GGAGGGACGGCGGCCGGGGGAUAACGGUACCCCGUCAGAAGGCACGCCCCUCUCGGAUCGCUAGAGAAGGCGUUCCUCACCGAAGGUGGGGCCACACCCCACCCCAACUGCCCCCCCCCCCGCCGGGGCCGGCAGGGAGGCAAGCCGAGGGAGCACCACCCGAGAGAACCGAUCAAUCGGGCGAGGGGGGUCUGCGGUAUAAGGAAGAACGGCACCUCGAGCAUCCGCGGCCAGGGCAAGGGCAGGCUGGGCGCAUUACCAAUCCCAUUCGCCACAGCCCUCCCGGCCCCCGCACUCGUCCGGCCAGACCGGACCACACCGCGACCGCUCGACACACCUGGCACACACCACCCCACGGGGGCAGGGUGGCAAGCGCGCAGGCAUGCGCCCACCAAGCCGAUACCCCACACACACGUGGGGACGACGGCACGACACCGGCAGCCUCCCUCCAAGCGAGGCGAAGCACACACGUGUCUCCUUCUCUUACCGCCUCGACCCCCCCAAGACUCCCAAGGGGCACAGGCAGCAGCCAGAGGCAGCCGCAGCAGCGACACCCGGGAGAGGGCGCUGGGGGGACAGGAGCAACACCACCACUCGGCUUCAGGCGCCUGAGGCACAACCUGGACCACUCCAGGGGCACCGCACAGGCUCGCGCGGAGGCAAGGCUCCGCAGCCACAGAGCCCACGACAGGGCGACGGCGAGGGAUGCCCGCCACGUCAGAGGACCCCGACCCCCCCCGCGCGCAAAAGCACGGGGACAGCAGAGGCCGGGCCGGUUUCCGCACCCCUGCCACCCACACACCACCCGCAGGUGGGGAAGGCAGAACGAGGGGCCCGCAGGCCAGAACGAGAGGCUCAGCAGCAUUCACCAUGAACGGCUGUCCCUCAUCUGGAGCGGCUUAGGUCCGGCCCAGGAGAGCACCACAGCACCACAUCGGUCACAGUCAGGUCUAGGCUUUAACACGUGGAGCGAGGGCGGUAGGCAACCCCAGCGGAGAACGCCUGACACGC
rnacentral:lncRNA from 1 species